rnacentral:rRNA from 1 species
AAUGAACGUUGGCGGCGUGGAUUAGGCAUGCAAGUCGAGCGAGAACCGUAGCAAUACGGGGACAGCGGCGAAAGGGAGAGUAAUGCGUGGAUACCUACCCUCGGGUUCGGGAUAGCUACGGGAAACUGUAGGUAAUACCGAAUAAUAUCUCCGGAUCAAAGGUGUGAUUCCGCCGGAGGAGGGGUCCACGUCCUAUUAGCUUGUUGGCGAGGUAACGGCUCACCAAGGCGAAGAUGGGUAUGGGGUGUGAGAGCAUGAUCCCGCUCAUUGGGACUGAGACACUGCCCAGACACCUACGGGUGGCUG